AUCAAGGUUUGCUAAAGAUGGGAUAUCUCUAUUGGAUCAUGAAGAGGAUAUCAAGGUACAAUACAAUCAAAAUCUUUUCGAAAAGCUACCAGAAGAAUAGAAGCUCUGGAGGGCUUAUUUUAGAAGCAUGAUAACCAUAGUUCUGCACAUAUCCAGGAAAAACUUAGUCUUUCAUGCUAAGCAAGAAUUAUCAGCUAAUAUAAAGUCCAUCAAGAAGCUCCAGGAUGGCCCCGAAGCCAAGGGAGCAGAUUGAUUUGCUCUUCUACCAAUUGCAGGAAACAGAGAAGGGUUGCUAACCUUCAGCUGGAGUGCAAGAUCCAAAUUGACGCGGAAAGCUUUGUGAAUUCUUUCUGACCUGACAUAAUGGAAGUGGUGUAUUCAUGGGCCAAAGGGUCGAAAUUCUACCAAAUCAUGGAGAUGACUCAAGUGUUCGAAGGCAGCAUGAUCAGUGCCAUCUGGAGGCUGGAGGAGGCUCUUCAGCAGCUAAUUCUGGUGUUGCCGAGGCAUGCCACGGACACCCUCGCCGGGAUCUGGUUCUGGUUGGCCAGCACCCGAUGCUCACUACUCCCGAACCGCCCGUGGCUGACCAGCUCGAGGAGACAAGGAGGUCGCCAAUUCUCCGACGUGGCGCAGGCGAUGUAAGUGUCCACCCACCGUCCGCCGAGGCGUGCCUGCAGGCCGCCGUCGGCGUGCGCGUCCUGCAGCAGCACUGCCAGGAAGCUGGGGUUCGAAUGCGUGCUGCACCCCAGAGACGGGGACGCAGGUUCCGGCGACCGACGACGCUACGUACUCGGCGAACGACGGCAGCCAGCGUCGAGCUCUCCGCUACGCUCGCGGGGAAGGGCCGGGAGAGAUCAGGAUUGCUCGGUCUUCACGGCGUCUGGCUGAUGGCCCUGGAUCGCAGGGGCGCAGGCGAUCGCGUGAAGCGCCAGGGAGGAACGGGUCUGCCUCCACGGUCCCUGGCAGGGGCGCCAGCGAUUGCGAGAUAGAUACAGCAUCUGAAAACACCAGCGAUCGGUUCGUGGGCGAGGAAAACCGCGCUACGUGGGGAGGAAAACCAGGGAGCGGCUGGGUGGGGAGGA